UCUCCGUUGGUCUAGGGGUUAUGACUGUGGACUUUGAAUCCACCAACAUCAGUUCGAAUCUGGUACGGAGAA